GACGAACGCUGGCGGCGUGCUUAACACAUGCAAGUCGAACGGAAAGGCCCUGCUUUUGUGGGGUGCUCGAGUGGCGAACGGGUGAGUAACACGUGAGUAACCUGCCCUUGACUUUGGGAUAACUUCAGGAAACUGGGGCUAAUACCGGAUAGGAGCUCCUGCUGCAUGGUGGGGGUUGGAAAGUUUCGGCGGUUGGGGAUGGACUCGCGGCUUAUCAGCUUGUUGGUGGGGUAGUGGCUUACCAAGGCUUUGACGGGUAGCCGGCCUGAGAGGGUGACCGGGCACAUUGGGACUGCGAGACGGACCAGACUGGUACGGGAGGCAGCAGGGGGGAAUAUUGCACAAUGAGCGGAAGCCUGAUGCGACAGCGCCGCGUGCGGGAUGACGGCCUUCGGGUUGAAAACAGCUGUCGCCUGUGACGAAGCGUGAGUGACGGUAAUGGGUAAAGAAGCACCGGCUAACUACGUG
rnacentral:rRNA from 1 species